CCAAAUGCGACAAAGGUCCCCGAUCGACCCCAACUGGGCUCCAGUACUGAUCAACUAGAACGAAACAACACAAAGGGCAAGAUCUUCAUCGAGCUCCAUCUUGAGCUUGGUUGCGUCACCUGCUCGGUAACAUAGGCACCCGCAAACUGGUUUUGGAAGUAUCUGGUGAGUCACGAGGACUCAGCAAUCUUGCACCCGCGAGAUCAAGACUAUUUAAGCUUAUGGGUAAGGUAAAGGCAUGAGGUGGAGCUGCAGCAAGCGACUAGCAUAUAUGGUGGCUAACAUACGCAAAUGAGAGCGAGAAGAGAAGGCAAAGCACGGUCGAUAAAAGUAUGAUCAAGAAGUGAUCCUGAAACUACUUACGUCAAACAUAACUCCAACACCGUGUUCACUUCCCGGACUCCGCCGAGAAGAGACCAUCACGGUUACACACGCGGUUGAUGUAUUUUAAUUAAGGUCAACUUCGGGUUUUCUACAACCAGACGUUAACAAAUUCCCAUCUGCCACAUAACCGCGGGCACGGCUUUCGAAAGAUCAAAUCCCUGCAGGGGUGUCCCAACUUAGCCCAUGACAAGCUCUCACGGUCAACGGAGGAAUAGACCUCCACCCGAGACACUCCGAUCAGACUCGGUAUCCCGGUACAACAAGACAUUUCGACAGGGUAAAACUAAACCAGCAACACCGCCCGAAUGUGCCGACAAAUCCCGAUAGGAGCUGCACAUAUCUCUUUCUCAGGGCACACUCAGAUAGGUCAAGCUACGAGUAAAACCAACCCUCAAGUUUCCCUGAGGUGGCCCCGCAGGCUGCCCAGUUCGGACCAACACUCAGAGGAGCACUGGCCCGGGCGGGUUAAAUAAGAUGACCCUUGAGUCUGCAGAACCCAAGGGAAAGAAAAGGCUAGGUGGCAAAUGGUAAAACCAAGGUUGGGCAUUGCUGGAAGAGCUUUACUUAAGGCGAACUGUCAAGGGGUUCCCAUUAUAGCCCAACCGCGUAAGGGACGCAAAAUCCGGGAACAUAACACCGAUAUGACGGAAACUAGGGCGGCAAGAGUGGAACAAAACACCAGGCAUAAGGCCGAGCCUUCCACCCUUUACCAAGUAUAUAGAUGCAUUAAUUAAAUAAGAUAUAUUGUGAUAUCCCAACAAGUAAACAUGUUCCAACAAGGAACAACAUCUCCAUGUUCCAACAAGGAACAAACUUCAAUCUUCACCUGCAACUAACAAUGCUAUAAGAGGGGCUGAGCAAAGCGGUAACAUAGCCAAUCAACGGUUUGCUAGGACAUGGUGGGUUAGAGGUUUGUCAUGGCAAUUUAGGAGGCUGACAAGCAAAUGGUAGGCAUCGUAGCAUUGGCAUAGCAAGAGCGAGCAAACUAGCAUAGCAAAGAUAGUAGUGAUUUCGAGGGUAUGAUCAUCUUGCCUGAAAUCCCGCAAGGAAGAAGAACGAGUCCAAGAAGAAGACAAACGGUCGUAGACGAACGAAUCCUCACAACUCCGAAACGAAACCAAAGCUAACGAGAGAAGCAACCCGGAAAGAAACAAAAAACAUAGUAAACAAACAUCACAUAAACAUGGCAUGAUGCGCAAACAAGUAUGAUGCAUGUCCGGUUUAAUGAGGCAUGGCAUGGCAAAGUGCAACAAACAAUACUACAAGUUAAGUGGAGCUCAAUAUGCAACGAGGUGCAUGUUGACGGAACACCACAUCAAUUAUUUAGUUAUCUCUCGUUUAAGCUACCCAACAAUAUUAACUGUUGUUAAACAUGGCAAGAGGUGAAGCAUAACAUAAACUAUACCGUCUAAACAAUUUAAAUGGGGCCGGAUAUAAAAACAACAAAUCCGGUAAAUCCCCAUAUGCAUUUAGCAAUUUAAUGCAACAACAAGUUUAAACAUUUUAAAUGUUGUUAUCAUGAUGCGGGUGACAUAUACAGGUUUUAUGCAAUUUUUAUAAAAACGUUAACAUAAGCAUGUUAUGAAGCAUUAGUCGCCAUGGUGGAAUGAAAAGGGUGCCACGGCAGCGAAACAGAAAUGGUGCCACGGCAACAUAUCCGAAAAUGAUGCCAUGGCAACAUAUCGGUUCCGGUAGCUCACAAAGAUACUGGUGCAAAAGGAGGCGUGACGUGAGCGAGUCAUUUAAGAUGGUGGGGUGAUCCCGACUUCCGGGUUCCCACGGGACGGUGGCACGGCAAAAGAGGGGCAUCGCAAGGACGAUUUGAUCACGGAGCAAACGAUGCAUCUCAUUCAACACAUGCAUUAAGUCACGGGCGUCGUCUCGGCGUUAUACCUUCGAAGCGUGCGUUUUCGGAGCGGUUCGAGUCGUCGAGGGAAGUAGUCGUUCACGGGCCGUAGUGGAGGUAGUCGUUCACGGGUCGUCGUGGGAAGUAGUCGUACACGACAUAGUGGAAGUCGUGGUACACGUUCGGAGAGGAACUUGACGCCCACGGGGUCGACGGUAGAGGUACUUGACGCAUCAUGUAGUCGAACUUGGCAUAUCCGAAGGGGUACUUGACGAAAUCCACAUCGAAUGUAGUCGUUCGGGCUCCCGUAGAUGAACUUGACGGGUCCCAUGAGUAGUCGUACUCGGCGAAUCCACGUAGUUGCACGUAUCUUUGUGCUAUAGCCGAACUUGAUGAAAACCCACGGUGACGGUCGACGUACACGAUCGGCUUGGUGGAACUUGGCGGUGGUCUCCUCGGGUCAACAGUGAUGUGCAAGGGUUAGAACGCCCUGGCCUUGGGCGCGGGACGGCGUCCUGGUGGCAUUGGCGCUCCUGCGGGCGUGGAGGACGACUUCUGCAGGCACGAAGCAGGGGGCAGCAGAGGGACUGGCGCGGGGAGGACCAAACCGAGGCGGGGGAGGUCUUGGCGCAGGGCUCCGGCGACGCAGGGCACCGCAACGGGCCUGAGCGACGGCGAAACAGGAGAGGUCGCCGGCGGGGACGCGACCUCGGGGCUCUGCUCCUGCAGGCGGAGGCUGGCAAAGGAGGGGCACGGGCGCAGGGAAGGGAUGAGGCGGAGCGAGGAGAAGGGCGAGGAGGAGCGGGGGCGCUCGAUGCAGGAGGAGGAAGGGCAAGGCCGCGGCGCUGGGGAGGAAGAGAGGCUGCGAGGGAGAUGAGGGAGGAGGGAGAGCUGCGCGCUGGGCGCUGCGUGCGGAGGGAGAGAGCGAGGGAGAUGAGAUCGGGCAAGGAGGGAGGAGAGGGGAUCAAGGGGAGCGGCCGCGAGAGGAUCGGGCGCAGGGAGCUCGUCUCCCUUCUCGAUGCGUGUGUAGGCGGCGCUGGCAGGGAACGAGGGGAGAGAUGGGGUGCAGGCGCUGCGGCUAGGGUUAGAGGGGCACCGGCUGGGCCUUGGGCCGGCUUAGGUUGGCCGGGCCUAAGAGGCCGGCUGGGCUGCAAGGCUCUCUUCUCCCUCUCUAAAGAAAAUAAAAACAAAACAGAGAUAGGAAAGAAUAGAAAGAGGGGUUAGGGGAAGAAGUAGGACAUGGGGAUAAUUUUUCCGGACUCGCAAAAAUGAGUUUGUUCCGAGAAAAAUAGAAAGGCCAUGAUUGAAAGAUUAAAUUCAAACUCAUUUGAUUUAAAUUCAAAUGAUUUGAAUAGGAAGUGAGGUUUGGGAAGGUCCAAAAAUGUUUGGAUUUUUGGUGGAGCUCCGGAAAAUGAUGAAAUAAAUAUUGGCAAGGUUGGAGACCAAACUUGAAGCAGAAAAGGAACGAAAAUAGUUUGUAAGUGUGUUUUGGUGAUUCCAAAAAUGGAAUAUUUUAUUAUAGCUCCCUAAUAAUAUUGAGAGGCUUUAAUAUGUUAUAAAGAGAAAUCACGAGUGAAUUCCCUUGACUUAAAUGGAUCGAAAAAAAAUCCAUACGAUUUAUUUAGUUGAGUUUUAAAAAAAAUGACAUGAUGGCAUGAUGCAAUGCAAAUGAUGCAACAAACAAAACAAAUCACACGACGAAACUCGGAGUAGCUGGAAGUCUUCUGGAGCGUCGGUCUCGGGGCGUUACACGUCGAAACUCGGAGUAACUGAAUUUUGCUGUCGAAACUGAACGCACUAGCAAGGUGAGGCUACACGUCGGUCGACUGACUUUUUCAUCUCUGUCAGUCGAUUUUGCAGCCGUUGGAUACGAAAUCAAGGGCCUGUGGUUCAUCUUCAACCUCCACCACCUGAGCCACUAGCCACCCCGGGCCAAACAGCAGCCCCCCGCCGCCCACGGCCACCGGUGCGCCGCCCCUCCCGCCUUGAAAACACUCCCCACCGCCGGUCCGCCGCCGCCCCGGCCAUCCCUCGAGGCCACCCCCCCCAUGCCGAGGUUUUUCUCCGGUGAUCCCCACGCCACCGCCCCGCCAACGCCCCGCCAACGCCAGUGACCACUGCCCCAUCCUGAACCCUAAGAUAGAUAGUGGGGUACCUCUCUGGCGAGCCCCCCUUGUAACGCCCUCGAUGCGGCUAUAUCUCCCACGUGUCGAAGCAUGACUUAGAGGCAUAACCGCAUUGAAAGCAAUGUCGCAAGUGAGGUAAUCUUCACACAACCCAUGUAAUACAUAAGGGAAAGAGAUACAUAGUUGGCUUACAAUCGCCACUUCACACAAUUACAUGAAUAAAGCAUUACAUCAUACAAAUACAAUCAAGGUCCGACUACGAAACCAAAAUAAAAGAAGAACCCCAAAUGCGACAAAGGUCCCCGAUCGACCCCAACUGGGCUCCAGUACUGAUCAACUAGAACGAAACAACACAAAGGGCAAGAUCUUCAUCGAGCUCCAUCUUGAGCUUGGUUGCGUCACCUGCUCGGUAACAUAGGCACCCGCAAACUGGUUUUGGAAGUAUCUGGUGAGUCACGAGGACUCAGCAAUCUCGCACCCGCGAGAUCAAGACUAUUUAAGCUUAUGGGUAAGGUAAAGGCAUGAGGUGGAGCUGCAGCAAGCGACUAGCAUAUAUGGUGGCUAACAUACGCAAAUGAGAGCGAGAAGAGAAGGCAAAGCACGGUCGAUAAAAGUAUGAUCAAGAAGUGAUCCUGAAACUACUUACGUCAAACAUAACUCCAACACCGUGUUCACUUCCCGGACUCCGCCGAGAAG
rnacentral:lncRNA from 1 species